UCUCGGGGCCGUGACUGGCGCGCUGGAGUGGAGACAACCACGAGGAAGCGGCCCUGACGUGCGUGGGGCCACGCCCCGCGCGAGGUGAGGUCGUGCGCCUGGGCCGCUGAG
rnacentral:ncRNA from 2 species